rnacentral:rRNA from 1 species
GACGAACGCUGGCGGCGUGCUUAACACAUGCAAGUCGAACGGAAAGGCCCUUCGGGCUACUCGAGUGGCGAACGGGUGAGUAACACGGGGGUGAUCUGCUCUGCACUUUGGGAUACGCCUGGGAAACUGUGUCUAAUCCCGAACUGGUCCGCGCGCUUCCCUGCGUGUGGUGGCAAGCUUUUGCGGUGUGGGGUGGGCUCGCGGCCUACGAGCUCGUUGGUGGGGGAUUGGCCUACCAAGGCGACGACUGGUAGCCGGCCUGAGAGGGUGACCGGCCACACUGGGACUGAGGUAGGGAGCAGACGCCUACGGGAGGCAGCGGUGGGGAAUAUGGCACAGUGAGCGCAAGCCUGAUGCAGCGGCGCCGCGUGAGGGAUGACGGCCUUCGGGUUGUAAACCUCUUUCGCCAGGGACGAAGCGCAAGUGACGGUACCUGGAGAAGAAGCACCGGCCAACUACGUG